AGUUUGCCAUCCAUGAUUCUCAUCAUUUCAUCACCCAUCGGAAUCUAUAAAUACGAUAUUUACCCUAUGGCUACUCUCCUUAAACUUCGUUGCUUUUGCUUGUUGUGUUCCAUACUCGUUCUCUAGUGAUUUCAUCUCUUGCUCUUUUUCAUUAUCUUUCCAAAAAUCUUCUUUAGGUACAUGACACGGGCAUAUAUUAAGGUUUUCCCAGACACGUGAAGGCACUGCAGUAUGCAGACCAUGUUAAGGACGCAGGCACAUGUUUAUGAUUUUGAGAUUGAAAACUCUAUAGGGAUGAUCCUUCGGGUGCAUCUUCUUCUUCAUCUUCUUCUUCUAUAAAAGUGUUGUAUAGUAAGGUAAACAACAAGUUCCUUUCGUGGUCGAGCUCUUAUUGAUCUUCAUGCUUUAGUGAAACCUAUUCUUAUCAUAAAUUUUGAGGCUCAUGAAGCGAAUAGAUUGGUUCAUCCUUCUACUUCAAAUUUUGAUAACGUAGGGAUAGCAACUAUUACGGUGUAGAUCAAUUUUAUCGCCAAUCGUUGAUGGACUCCAUACCAGAAGACUUCGACGCCUCUCCUUCUUGUGGAGUUACCUUUUGAGGGAUCUCGAGGGUCCAAGAUUGUGCCUUCACUGGUGGUCGAAGGUGCGUUUAGGUGAUAAGUACCUUUACAGGAGCCUGGAAGAUGACAGCCCCUGCUGCUGCUUCUUCAGCUCACUGGUCCUUACACUUGGAGACCAUGCUUCCUCCCUCGCCAACUCGCAUUAAAGAUCCUAUUGAAUGGAAGAGGAAAAUGCCUAGUGGAUCCAAACAGAUUCCAAAUCUAAAAAUUUCUUAUUCUCCAAGGAAGUUUGUUCUAGAUUCCAAGCAUUUAUUCAGCCUCGAAUGAAUAAUGAAUUAGAUUCGGGGGUUUUGUCUAUUUUUCCUGCCUUAUCUCUUAGGAAGCGAGAUUUGUAUACACGUAUUUCAAUCAAUCCUAGUAAAAUCUUGUGGAAGAAAUUAGCCUUAUUCAAAAAGGAAAAAUGAUUGAUUCUCAUCUCAUGCGAGUAGAUGUACUACAUCAUGAUCAUCAGGUAGAAUAUAAGGUCAUUGUUUUGAGAGCUAAUAGUUUGUAUAAAACGUUUAAUUUUUGGAGAAGAGACGUAGUACUCCUCAGAAGAAGCUAUAGGAGGCUAUGAAAGAGAAAAGCAAUUACAAAGAGAUAAGAUACCUUAUCUCCUGAAAAAUAUGUCGAAGACACCUUAUCUCCUGAGGCUUCUCCUUUGGCCUCUAAGGCCCUAGAUACUCCAUCACUUCAUACCGAACCUCCUAAGCCCAUAGAUUCUCCAGCUAUCAAUCUAAGUAAGGUUACUGUUUUCGUUGAGCCACCUAUAACUUCUACUCUUGCUCCUCUUUCUCCCCCUUCUAAAGUGAUCGCACUUUCUAAGGGUAAAAUUCAAGUUAACCAGGAAGAUUCGGCUACAAAAAAUCUCUAGCCUCUUGUUAACUUGGAAAAUGGUGUCCGCCUUCAACGACUAUUCCUUGGAUCUGUGAUCCGGCCCCUCUUCACACAAACCAAUUAAACCGCGGGAUGUGCCUCCUACUGACCAGGGUCCGAGCGUCUCUCCAACUGAACUGUCAAAGUGACUAGUGAGCCAACCCACGUUGCACCUUAUCUUCCAAGACAUUCCUGCCUUCCAGGAUAAAUCCUGUCUUUCAAUAUAUGUCUUGCCUUCCAAGAGCCCCACGAAUCGCACCCACGACUUCUGAACUGCUAGCCUUGAGAGAAUCCUUCCUUUGCCAUUGGAGAAGUGCCUCGGGGGGCAAAAAAAAAAAAAAUGGGCUCACUUUCAACAGCUAUUUAGAUGUCGAUGGGUAAAACUCAAUUUUUCAUUGUUUCUUCUUUGAUGAAAAAACUUCGCUUUUAAUUUUUCCAUUUUGAUGGCUCAAGGCUUAUCUUUUCGACAUUUUUGCAUUUGGCGGAUAGGGAUUCGCCUUCAAUUGAAACUUCGUUAUAGGCAAAGGUAAAUUCGCCUUCUAACCAUUUCAGGUUUGAAUCGUACAUUUUGUCAUUGCGACCCUUUCUGUAAUCUUGGUUCAUUUUAGCAGUUUCGAUAUCCAAACUUCUCCUAGUAUUUGUAGUAUCAUUCUUACUGACGAGAAUUUUUCAACUGAUCAUUCGCAAUGUUAGAUAUACGCUUUCCUAAACGAGGAUUUCAAGCAUGUUUCCCAUUUUCUACCAUCAAUGUGGUAUUAAUUAUUGGAGUUCUUGGGGCUUCUUCUCUCUGCGUGUUGAGGUAACACUCGAUCUCAGGCGCAUUAUCCCUUCAUGCUAAUCGCUCCUUUUGGAGUUCAAAAUGUCAUGAAGAGAUGGUGAAUGGAUGUUACUAUUUGUAAUUGCUUUAGCUUAGCCUUCUUAGGAUUCCAUUGUAAGCAGACUUGCUAUCUAUUAUCAAGAAGUCCAUAUAUCAUUGGAACAUUGUUGGUUCCUCAUCCAAUUAAAUCGUUAAAGUGAUUUGUCCCCCUUGACAAAUUGUCACCUCUAAACUCAUACAAUGGCUCAACCAUAAACAACCAGGGAUGGUCAAUCUACAUUUUGUUGAACCCACUUCUAAAUAGAAUAUUCACAGAACUACCAUUGUCUUCUAGCGUACAGGUGAGGCCAUUGCAAGUUAUGACUGCUCAUACUACCAAUGCGUCACAGUGGGGAAUAUAAUUCCAUGUUCGUCAUCAUCAUUAAACAUAAAUGGAAGAGAUGUGGUUUAGGGUUACCUUGGAUCCAAAAGUUCUUCAACAUAGAUUUCUUAGAUGCUCGGGCAUUACUUCUCUGCGAGUUCAUUAUCCCCCCACCAACAUAAGGGCUUCAAAUUAUGGUAUUUAUCUUCUUACCAGAGAUCCAGGAUUUGGAACAUUGGUUAAUGCAUGUGAUGGUUCUGUGUACAUUGUCCUUGAUCCUCAACUCCUUCCUCUUACAGCCAAAUAAAGUGGUUUUUGGCUUUCAAAGGCUUUAUGCAAAGUUCCCCAUUGGUUUCAUUGCUUUGCCAUUUUGAAUACCUAAAGCAUUCAUCCAUAUUGUAAUCCCUAGUGUAGUAGAUUUUACAACUUUGAUUUCGAAUUUUCAGGAAAUGGAUUAUGUACUUUACCAUAACUUGUGAGAAAGUUAGAGAAAUCAUA